CACAGCUCACUGCAGCCUCAAGUUCCUAGGCUCAAGCAAUCCUCCCACCUCAGCCUUCUGAGUAGCUAGGACCAGAGGCUCAUGCCACUAUACCCAGGCAAGGACACAACAUUUAUCCACUAUGCAGGAUGCAACAACAGGGCACCAUCUUGGAAGCAGGGAGCAGCCCACACCAGACAUCAGACCUUGGACUUUCCAGCCUCCACAACUCCUCCAACCCUUGGCAGCCACCAUUCUACUCUCUGCUUCUACAAGUUCAACAACUUCAACAAGAAGUUCAACAACUUCUACAAGUUUCAGAAUUUGCUACCUUCUAACCAUGUGACUUUGGGAAAUUAUUUCAUCCACCUAUGUGUUCAGUAAGA